GAUGAACGCUGGCGGCGUGCCUAAUACAUGCAAGUCGAGCGAAUGGAUUAAGAGCUUGCUCUUAUGAAGUUAGCGGCGGACGGGUGAGUAACACGUGGGUAACCUGCCCAUAAGACUGGGAUAACUCCGGGAAACCGGGGCUAAUACCGGAUAACAUUUUGAACCGCAUGGUUCGAAAUUGAAAGGCGGCUUCGGCGGUCACUUAUGGAUGGACCCGCGUCGCAUUAGCUAGUUGGUGAGGUAACGGCUCACCAAGGCAACGAUGCGUAGCCGACCUGAGAGGGUGAUCGGCCACACUGGGACUGAGAAACGGCCCAGACUCCUACGGGAGGCAGCAGUAGGGAAUCUUCCGCAAUGGACGAAAGUCUGACGGAGCAACGCCGCGUGAGUGAUGAAGGCUUUCGGGUCGUAAAACUCUGUUGUUAGGGAAGAACAAGUGCUAGUUGAAUAAGCUGGCACCUUGACGGUACCUAACCAGAAAGCCACGGCUAACUACGUGCCAGCAGCCGCCGUAA
rnacentral:rRNA from 1 species